rnacentral:rRNA from 1 species
GACGAACGCUGGCGGCGUGCUUAACACAUGCAAGUCGAGCGGUAAGGCCCUUCCGGGGGUACACGAGCGGCGAACGGGUGAGUAACACGUGGGUGACCUGCCCUUAGCUCUGGGAUAAGCCUGGGAAACUGGGUCUAAUACCGGAUAUGACUCCAUAACGCAUGUUGUGGGGUGGAAAGCCUUGUGCGGCUAGGGAUGGGCCCGCGGCCUAUCAGCUUGUUGGUGGGGUGAUGGCCACCAAGGCGACGACGGGUAGCCGGCCUGAGAGGGCGACCGGCCACACUGGGACUGAGACACGGCCCAGACUCCUACGGGAGGCAGCAGUGGGGAAUCUUGCGCAAUGGGCGAAAGCCUGACGCAGCGACGCCGCGUGGGGAUGAC